UGCACUGUUUGCAGUGAGACACAUGUGGCUUUGUGAUGAAGAUGCCAGCUAAGUUCCAAAUCUCUUGGGUGGAGAGUGUAGACUCACAGCAGGAGCAGCCUUCUAAAGAACAGUGACCUAUAAAAUCACAGCUGUUCAAAAGUUGACUUCACAGGCUCUGUAAAAAGCACGUGGGGCUCCCAGUGCUGAGGCUGCACACCUGCGCCAGGUUGGCCCAGGCAGCUCUCCGCAGACACCUGCACCCAGGGCCCCCGAGGCUGCUGACAGGUCAUGCAGCUCUACGUCUCGGCUGGACCCUAGCAGCUGGAAUCACUCCUGUGGACAGAGAUCUCUUGUGUCUCCUAAUAGCUCACUGCUCCAGGCUUCUUUAGAGAGAGAGGGGAGGCCCCUGCACAGACAGCUGCAGUAGCCAGUCUGGAACCCAGUCCCAGCUGGAGUAGGAGAUGGCGGCCUGGCCCUGGGACUCAGGCCCUCGUUAUUCUGGGAUCGCAUGGGACUGGGGCUGAGGCCCAGCACAGGCUGUCAUGCUUCCUUCUCGCCACAAUGGCCCCAACCAGCCCCAUCCCCGGACUCUGACCAGAGCUGGAGGCGACUUGCCCAGACUAGGGGGAUGAGCCCCUUAACCUAGAACCACGGGCUUCACCCCUCGCUCUCCAUUCUGCCUCCUCUUUGACUCUCCUAGCUGCUGCCAGGCCAGGCCACCCAUCCUCUCUCCCCUGAGCAACCUCCCCAGCCACCUAACUGCCCUCCUGCCCACUGCGCCAUCUUCCACCCCCACCCCGAGUCUUGCUAAAAUGCAAUUCACCCUACAUCACUCCUCAUUCAAACCAAGCAGGAGCUCAUCCCCCAAAACCUUUGGGACAGAGGCCAAACCCCUUACUGAGGCCUCUCAGGGCCUGCAAGCGGGGGGGG